GUCGAACGAAGCGCCUGCGGCGGACCCCUCCGGGGGAAAGCCGCGGGGGACUGAGUGGCGGACGGGUGAGCAACGCGUGGGCAACCUGCCCCGUACCGGGGGACAACAGCCGGAAACGGCUGCUAAUACCGCAUAUUCCCGCGGGGCCGCAUGGCCCUGCGGGGAAAGCUCCGGCAGUACGGGAUGGGCCCGCGUCUGAUUAGCUUGUUGGCGGGGUAACGGCCCACCAAGGCUGCGAUCAGUAGCCGGCCUGAGAGGGCGGCCGGCCACAUUGGGACUGAGACACGGCCCAGACUCCUGCGGGAGGCAGCAGUGGGGGAUAUUGCACAAUGGGGGGAACCCUGAUGCAGCGACGCCGCGUGAACGAAGAAAUAUUUCGGUAUGUAAAGUUCUAUCAGCAGGGAAGAAAAUGACAGUACCUGACCAAGAAGCCCCGGCUAACUACGUGCCAGCAGCCGCGGUAAUACGUAGGGGGCGAGCGUUAUCCGGAUUCACUGGGCGUAAAGGGAGCGCAGGCGGCACGGCAAGUCCGGUGUGAAAGCCCGGGGCCCAACCCCGGGACUGCACUGGAAACUGCCGGGCUGGAGUGUCGGAGGGGCAGGCGGAAUUCCUAGUGUAGCGGUGAAAUGCGUAGA
rnacentral:rRNA from 1 species